rnacentral:rRNA from 1 species
UACGAAGCGUGCAAGCGCUGCCCGGAUUUAUUGGGUUUAAAGGGUGCGUAGGUGGCUGAUUUAGUCAUGGGUGAAAGCCCGCAGCUCAACUGUGGAAUUGCCUGUGAUACUGAUUAGCUUGAGUGCGGUUGAGGCAGCUGGAAUUGGUGGUGUAGCGGUGAAAUGCAUAGAUGCCACCAGGAACACCGAUUGCGAAGGCAGGUUGCUAAGCCGUAACUGACACUGAGGCACGAAAGCGUGGGGAGCAAACAGG